AGAGUAUCAAAUUUAUUUUCUAUGGUCACAUAACAAAUUAUCAAGUAGAACCAAACCACAUACUAUUGUUAUGCAAGUAUUAGAAAGAAAGGUAAGCGGAUAACAAAAUCGGGCGUAGCAGUAUCAACAUCAACCCAAGAACUGCUUGUUCUGCAAGUCCUCAAGGUUCAAGGUUGAAGUCAAACAUGGAUCAUCAAUAUUCCCAAACAACAAGUACUACCAAAUUUAUAUACAUAACAUGCAGAGUAAAUAUCAGUUUUCCUAGCAGAAACUUCAGAUUCAAUAACAAUCAUGACAAGGGAAUAACAUCAAAAUUAUUCAAUUUCAACCUUCAAUUCAAUCAUCAAACAAACACCAAAAUUAGAAUCCAAUCACCAUGGCAUGCAAAUUCAUAUAUAGCACCCAACCCAAGAUCAACAUCAAAUCAAUUCAAAACAAACCCUAAACCUAACCCCAACAAACCCAAACCCUUAACAAAAAUUCCACCACCAAAAAGUUCAUGAAUUUUAUGAGGAACAAAAAAACCAUAAGAAAAUUAAGAUCGAAACAAAGCACCCCAAUUGAAGGCAAGAUCAAACCCAAAUAGAAACAAAAAAGAUAAACAGAAAUAAUCAAUAAAAAUCAAAUCUUUAACAUAACUAGAGGUGGGAAUUUACAAAAAAAAAGAUCCAAUUUUUUUCUUCUUCUGGGGUUGGUCUAUGCAAGAGAUUGCUUGUGAAAUAUUAUGAGAUGCACAAAAGAAUCAAGAGAUGGAAGAAAAAUAUAUAUAAGUUGUAAAAAAGAUAACUUUAUAGUUAAAUAGUAGUUUUUAGGAUAUGUGAGAAGAAGCAUGAAAAUUCAGCGUUGCACCUAUCUACAUGGAUCAUAAUUCAUGGGUCCAAAAUCCAAAUACAUUUCUAUACGAGUAUGAUACGUGCAACUACGUAUUAGGUAAUUCUUGUUUUUUUUUUCCUUUUAUUUUUUAUUAGGAUUUUGAUAAAUAUGUUGUCAAUUGGGUAAUUCUUAAUUUUUUUGUUACAUAUAAUGCAACUUAUUAAAAAAAAUAUUUGUUUGUUUUUUUUUGGAAUUUUAGUAUCAACAUUUAUAAGUAUGACUAACACGAAAUAUGAAUAUUGUUAAGAGUGUAAUAUUUAUGUAUUGUCAUUGUAAAAUUUAUACGUAGAACUUUAUAUCAUCCACUAUUCAAUUGUAUUACUAUUUUAGAAGAUUCAAUAAUAAUUAAAUAUGAAGGAUGAAUGAUAUAUAGCUGGUGCACAAUUUUUUUUCUUUUAUAAAGGUAUAGGCCUAUAGGGAGUUAGUAAUGACAAAACUCAUCAUCAACUUUACACUUGAGUUUUCCUCACAAUAUUAGAGAAAAAAUAUAAAAGUAUGAGUCUUACGACUUCUUUCUUUCUUUAAAUUGAAUGUAAAUUCAAUAACUGAAAAUAUUAUUUUUCUUCCUUUUUCUUUCCCCUUGUUAUCAUCCUUUACUUUUCAACCCAAUCUAACAUAACCUAAAAACUUUGGUGUUUGAUUUAAAUAUUUUAUGAUGGUUAUAUCUAUUAGUACUACUAUAGUAUCCGAUUAUUUAGAUGUCUUGUGAUUAUAAUUCUCAUAAUUUUGAAGUAUUUAUGAUCAUUUUAUAUUACUUCUAAUUUUUAAUUAACAGUACAAGAAUUAUUUAUAUUAUUAUCUUAUCAAUUAUUAUUAUCUUUUAAAAAAUGUAAUUUAAAUGAAUUAUGAAUAACUAGCGUGUUGAUCGACAUUCUGUGUCGAUUGACUUACAUCCUUAUUUUCUUGAUAUAAGUCUAUAAUAUAAAAAAAUGUAAAUUUAAGAAUAUAAGAUGUAAUAAUUGAUAUGAUACGGACGAGAAGUCGGGUGAACUCUCCUAGCAUGCCUACGCAAUUCCAAAUAGUUACCUACAAAUGAGCACGAAUCCACAGAACAACUUCUCUUCUUCAUAUUCAGAUGAUUCCUAGCCUCUUCAUUCACCUCCCAGCCUUGAACUGUGCCUCUACAUAGAGGACAUUUCAAGCUCAGUUUCGACUCAGAAGAACUAUUUGCAUCUAAAACCUCGAGCACAGCCCUGUCCUGCAAGGUCUCAGAAUCAGCGGUUUCUAAAAUCCCUUCAUCAUGUGGAUCUAAAUGUCUACUCGGAACUUGGGCAUCACCCUCUGUUGAUCCUUGUGGAAUUCCAACAGAUAAUACAGUAUCAAUUUCAUUUUCGUAGAGUUCAUUAACAUCAUUCAUGUCAGAUUCUAUAUUAACGCUAAUAUCAAAAGUAUUACCGGAGUUGUUUGUGUUAACUAAAUUUGGACUGUCCUUAGAAUUGUCCCUUAAUUUUUUAAACCGGUCCAAGCAAUUUGAAUGCCUAUAACUUGUAUCGCAAAUGUAAGAUCUGCAGCCCUUCUCAUGAGAGCUGCAAUGGAGUAGAACAGCAUUAUGCGGAUGGUCCAUGCAGAUAGGACAUGAAACUUCAUCCAAUUCUUUGUGAAAAGCAUGGAUAUCUGAAUCACUACAUAAUCUUCGCUUAACACCAGCCAUCUUCCACGCACAGUGUUAACUACUCAAAUAUCGAACUCGUUAGAAAAUUAUGCAAGUAAUCAUACCGAAAAAUCUGCCAUUUUUCAUAACAACAAGCAUAAAAGUUCUGACUAAAAUAAAAUUACUUGGUCAACUAUAUAAAAAUAAUUCCCCUGCUCCAACAUUAGAAGGUAAUAAAAGAUAUGAAUGAGAAAUUGAGUUCGACUCGAUAUUGUAUGAUAUGCCCUUUUCCCACAGAAAAGUGAAGCCUUACAAAAAAAAUGACAAACAAGAAUUAAAAGCUUUGAUCCUAUGUGUGAUUUUGAGAUUGAACUGAAAUACACCAUAGCGCAACACGUACUAGAAUGUCACAAAUAAAGACCAUAGUACUUUGGACCAACAAAUCUAGAACGUCGCACUUACUCUUUAACUCCUUAAAUGUCAAAACUUACCUGACAAAUCUUUAUUUCAUGAAAAUAAAGAUAUCAAUAUAGAAACUCGGCUGAACAGACUGUCAACAACAAAAUGAGCCACAAACUAAAUCUUAGAUUGCCACAAUAGCAUCAUUCAAAAUUAUAAUCAUUUAAACAAAAAGAGCUCUCGUUUCUUGAUAAUUCCAAAUGUUCAUUAAUAUAACAACCUAGGAUUCAAAAUCAGCAAAACAUUAGGAUAUCGAAUCUAAUUAUCAUUCAACUCCAAUGACAUCUACAACAUCAACGUAGAUGGUUACGGUUUAAAAAUAAUUUCGUCAGAUUCUUCAAAGUACAAGAACUACGCUAGAAUGGUGUCACUGUGUAACACUGACUGAACCAAAAGUAAUUGUAUUAGAUCAAUUUAGAUGUAACUAUGAACAAUCAAUCUUUAUCUCUGCUGAAUGGACACCAUAUAUCUUUACUAAACCUGAACAAAUACCAAAAUGUUUUAACUCUUAAUGUAAUGCUAUUUUGUGUUAGCUACAUCAUUCUAUUUCAUCAGGCAAAUCCCAAAAGAAGAUUGGUCAUUCGGAAAACAUAUUUAGAAGAAGACAUUGUGACACUUGAGAUUGUAAAAUUAUGCUUCCUUAUAUAGAAAACUUAACAUCAUUUAAGAUGCAGUCUUAACGAAUAAACAUGACUAAAAAUGAUCAAAGGAAAAUAUGAAAAUGGAGAUCAAUAUGAAAGGGAAGAAAUUAAAUUGUUCAAACAAAAAUUCAGUGCUGGCAAUGCAUAAGGCAAUUAAUAGAAAGGACAUAAAAGUCGUGAGAAUAAUAGUAUGUAUAUUGUUAGCAUAUAAACUUACCAAGACAAUAUGCUCUAGCUAUUUUCCCUACCAGAGGUUUCCGGUCUGUGUCAGAUUGUAAUUACCGAACCUUUACACAAUGCUCCAAAGUACGUUAUAAAAAGGAAUCAAUGUAAGCUAAAAUCUUGAUCAAAUAUAAUUAACGAACACUUCUUUACAAAAGAAUCACCAACAAGCCCCAAAAUCUGCAGGUAUAAUGGUACGCAACCAAAAAAGAGAAGAAAAAAACACAUUAAGCAACACAAUAGCUAAAUCCAAUAAAUUUCGAUAUCAAUUAAAUUUGAAAUCUAGGACCAGCAGCUAAAAAUACUGAAAUAGAACCAUAGAAAACAUAAAAUCAUAAAUAAGGACAUUACAAUCAAGCUGAUUCAUUAUCUCAACACUACUAGUUGACUAUGAUGAUAUUAACAGUUUGCUAUUCUAGGAUUUUCAUUACUGAAACACCUACUAUCCCAGAUUACAACACAGAUAGGUUCUAUGAUCUUGGGUUGUCAUUGAAUCGCAUCCAUUUUGCUUUGCGCCUUGGAAUAUCAUACAAAGCAGUGACUGUCUGUAAUAGUUUAAUUCAAACUUGGAGAGGGAAGGAAUGAAAUUGACACACACAUAACAAACAACUCUUGAAUCCUCAUAGUUCAAUGAACAUAUUGAAAAAGGAUAGAUUGCAAAAUGAGAUUUUGUGUAGUUAUCGGGGUAAAAUUUUCUAAGCAAGAGAGUCAAUAAGACAGAAAGGGUUCAAUGGAUUACUGUUCUAAGAGUGGUUCUCCAGAGAUAUCAUAGGGCUAGACUCUAUCUUCCUGUUCAUUUUUGUCGGUGUUGUCACACGGGGACAUAAAGUUUCAGGAUCGCAGGGUAACAACUUAUGGCAACGAUGAUAACCACAAAGAUAGGGUUAGUACUUAGUAGGGUGGACAGGAUUUCUUCCUAUCUCAUACAACCACGGUGUUGGUUCAUGUAAAUGUCCACAUUACCAUAUUGAGGAUACACGUCCUAAACAACCGUAAAAAAUAUGAAAGCAUGGAAGCAUUAAGCACAACUAGAGUUAUAUAUCCAAUCAAAGGGAGAUGGAUCAUAACUUAGAGUAUCAAAUUUAUUUUCUAUGGUCACAUAACAAAUUAUCAAGUAGAACCAAACCACAUACUAUUGUUAUGCAAGUAUUAGAAAGAAAGGUAAGCGGAUAACAAAAUCGGGCGUAGCAGUAUCAACAUCAACCCAAGAACUGCUUGUUCUGCAAGUCCUCAAGGUUCAAGAUUGAAGUCAAACAUGGAUCAUCAAUUUUCCUAAACAACAAGUACUACUAAAUUUAUAUACAUAACAUGCAGAGUAAAUAUCAGUUUUCCUAGCAGAAACUUCAGAUUCAAUAACAAUCAUGACAAGGGAAUAACAUCAAAAUUAUUCAAUUUCAACCUUCAAUUCAAUCAUCAAACAAACACCAAAAUUAGAAUCCAAUCACCAUGGCAUGCAAAUUCAUAUAUAGCACCCAACCCAAGAUCAACAUCAAAUCAAUUCAAAACAAACCCUAAACCUAACCCCAACAAACCCAAUCCCUUAACAAAAAUUCAUGAAUUUUGUGAUCAACAAAAAAACCAUAAGACAAUUAAGAUCGAAACAAAGCACCCCAAUUGAAGGCAAGAUCAAACCCAAAUAGAAACAAAAAAGAUAAACAGAAAUAAUCAAUAAAAAUCAAAUCUUUAACAUAACUAGAGGUGGGAAUUUACAAAAAAAAAGAUCCAAUUUUUUUCUUCUUCUGGGGUUGGUCUAUGCAAGAGAUUGCUUGUGAAAUAUUAUGAGAUGCACAAAAGAAUCAAGAGAUGGAAGAAAAAUAUAUAUAAGUUGUAAAAAAGAUAACUUUAUAGUUAAAUAGUAGUUUUUAGGAUAUGUGAGAAGAAGCAUGAAAAUUCAGCGUUGCACCUAUCUACAUGGAUCAUAAUUCAUGGGUCCAAAAUCCAAAUACAUUUCUAUACGAGUAUGAUACGUGCAACUACGUAUUAGGUAAUUCUUGUUUUUUUCCUUUUAUUUUUAUUAGGAUUUUGAUAAAUAUGUUGUCAAUUGGGUAAUUCUUAAUUUUUUUGUUACAUAUAAUGCAACUUAUUAAAAAAAAUAUUUGUUUGUUUUUUUUUGGAAUUUUAGUAUCAACAUUUAUAAGUAUGACUAACACGAAAUAUGAAUAUUGUUAAGAGUGUAAUAUUUAUGUAUUGUCAUUGUAAAAUUUAUACGUAGAACUUUAUAUCAUCCACUAUUCAAUUGUAUUACUAUUUUAGAAGAUUCAAUAAUAAUUAAAUAUGAAGGAUGAAUGAUAUAUAGCUGGUGCACAAUUUUUUUUCUUUUAUAAAGGUAUAGGCCUAUAGGGAGUUAGUAAUGACAAAACUCAUCAUCAACUUUACACUUGAGUUUUCCUCACAAUAUUAGAGAAAAAAUAUAAAAGUAUGAGUCUUACGACUUCUUUCUUUCUUUAAAUUGAAUGUAAAUUCAAUAACUGAAAAUAUUAUUUUUCUUCCUUUUUCUUUCCCCUUGUUAUCAUCCUUUACUUUUCAACCCAAUCUAACAUAACCUAAAAACUUUGGUGUUUGAUUUAAAUAUUUUAUGAUGGUUAUAUCUAUUAGUACUACUAUAGUAUCCGAUUAUUUAGAUGUCUUGUGAUUAUAAUUCUCAUAAUUUUGAAGUAUUUAUGAUCAUUUUAUAUUACUUCUAAUUUUUAAUUAACAGUACAAGAAUUAUUUAUAUUAUUAUCUUAUCAAUUAUUAUUAUCUUUUAAAAAAUGUAAUUUAAAUGAAUUAUGAAUAACUAGCGUGUUGAUCGACAUUCUGUGUCGAUUGACUUACAUCCUUAUUUUCUUGAUAUAAGUCUAUAAUAUAAAAAAAUGUAAAUUUAAGAAUAUAAGAUGUAAUAAUUGAUAUGAUAUACACAAAACUUCUAUAAAUUUCUCAUUUUAUGCAUCUAAUAAUAAUUAUUGAGUUGUUGGAUAUAUUUUUUCAUGUACUAUUGUUUUAUUUUUGGAUUGAGAAAGAGAGAAGAUAAAAAAGAAUGAAUGUAUUAAUGAAAAAAUGAAGUAAAAUGUGGAAGUUUUCAUUUAUUAAAGAGAGAGGUUAAAAAUGAUAAAAAUAGAAUUUAAAAAUUAUGUCAUACAUGGUGGUUACUACUUGUUUUAGUUUUAUUAAUAGUAUAGAUUAAUAGUAUAUAAAUAUAUAUAUUGAAUAUGUAUACGGCAUACAUUUAACAGUGAAUUCAUUUAUGCAUGGAUCAUCAUUGUGCUGAUCAUAUGUAUAAAAUGUUGUUUCUACAGGUUUAUUAUAUAUCUUAGGAAGAGUUACCUAGUGACCAAAUUUGUGCAUUGUUUACAUACACAUUCCUCAAUUUCACAGUUUAGAAUAUACAUUUCCUACCUUCAACUUUCAUGCUCUAUAAAUGAAUUCACUGACCUUGAAGUCAAGGAAAAACAAUAUUUUAUUAGUCUACUAGAGCAACAAAUUAUGGACAAAUUUGUCUCUGAAAGCUGAAAAUGAUUGCAUAAUCAAGCAUGAGCCUAGAGUAUGCAUUUCAUUUCCUUUUCUACAUAUAAAAAGGUAUGCAUCUCAAUAUUCGAAUACCCUUUAAUUAAUAAAUUGAGAAUAACUGUAUGGAAAAUGUAAUGACAAACAUUUGGUUUAGAUAAUAAUGACCACCAGCACUUAAAAGACUUACUUUAAGGGUUAAUCUUGUUUCUUGAUAAUUCCAAAUGUUCAUUAAUAUAACAACCUAGGAUUCAAAAUCAGCAAAACAUUAGGAUAUCGAAUCUAAUUAUCAUUCAACUCCAAUGACAUCUACAACAUCAACGUAGAUGGUUACGGUUUAAAAAUAAUUUCGUCAGAUUCUUCAAAGUACAAGAACUACGCUAGAAUGGUGUCACUGUGUAACACUGACUGAACCAAAAGUAAUUGUAUUAGAUCAAUUUAGAUGUAACUAUGAACAAUCAAUCUUUAUCUCUGCUGAAUGGACACCAUAUAUCUUUACUAAACCUGAACAAAUACCAAAAUGUUUUAACUCUUAAUGUAAUGCUAUUUUGUGUUAGCUACAUCAUUCUAUUUCAUCAGGCAAAUCCCAAAAGAAGAUUGGUCAUUCGGAAAACAUAUUUAGAAGAAGACAUUGUGACACUUGAGAUUGUAAAAUUAUGCUUCCUUAUAUAGAAAACUUAACAUCAUUUAAGAUGCAGUCUUAACGAAUAAACAUGACUAAAAAUGAUCAAAGGAAAAUAUGAAAAUGGAGAUCAAUAUGAAAGGGAAGAAAUUAAAUUGUUCAAACAAAAAUUCAGUGCUGGCAAUGCAUAAGGCAAUUAAUAGAAAGGACAUAAAAGUCGUGAGAAUAAUAGUAUGUAUAUUGUUAGCAUAUAAACUUACCAAGACAAUAUGCUCUAGCUAUUUUCCCUACCAGAGGUUUCCGGUCUGUGUCAGAUUGUAAUUACCGAACCUUUACACAAUGCUCCAAAGUACGUUAUAAAAAGGAAUCAAUGUAAGCUAAAAUCUUGAUCAAAUAUAAUUAACGAACACUUCUUUACAAAAGAAUCACCAACAAGCCCCAAAAUCUGCAGGUAUAAUGGUACGCAACCAAAAAAGAGAAGAAAAAAACACAUUAAGCAACACAAUAGCUAAAUCCAAUAAAUUUCGAUAUCAAUUAAAUUUGAAAUCUAGGACCAGCAGCUAAAAAUACUGAAAUAGAACCAUAGAAAACAUAAACUCAUAAAUAAGGACAUUACAAUCAAGCUGAUUCAUUAUCUCAACACUACUAGUUGACUAUGAUGAUAUUAACAGUUUGCUAUUCUAGGAUUUUCAUUACUGAAACACCUACUAUCCCAGAUUACAACACAGAUAGGUUCUAUGAUCUUGGGUUGUCAUUGAAUCGCAUCCAUUUUGCUUUGCGCCUUGGAAUAUCAUACAAAGCAGUGACUGUCUGUAAUAGUUUAAUUCAAACUUGGAGAGGGAAGGAAUGAAAUUGACACACACAUAACAAACAACUCUUGAAUCCUCAUAGUUCAAUGAACAUAUUGAAAAAGGAUAGAUUGCAAAAUGAGAUUUUGUGUAGUUAUCGGGGUAAAAUUUUCUAAGCAAGAGAGUCAAUAAGACAGAAAGGGUUCAAUGGAUUACUGUUCUAAGAGUGGUUCUCCAGAGAUAUCAUAGGGCUAGACUCUAUCUUCCUGUUCAUUUUUGUCGGUGUUGUCACUCGUGGACAUAAAGUUUCAGGAUCGCAGGGUAACAACUUAUGGCAACGAUGAUAACCACAAAGAUAGGGUUAGUACUUAGUAGGGUGGACAGGAUUUCUUCCUAUCUCAUACAACCACGGUGUUGGUUCAUGUAAAUGUCCACAUUACCAUAUUGAGGAUACACGUCCUAAAUAACCGUAAAAAAUAUGAAAGCAUGGAAGCAUUAAGCACUACUAGAGUUAUAUAUCCAAUCAAAGGGAGAUGGAUCAUAAUUUAGAGUAUCAAAUUUAUUUUCUAUGGUCACAUAACAAAUUAUCAAGUAGAACCAAACCACAUACUAUUGUUAUGCAAGUAUUAGAAAGAAAGGUAAGCGAAUAACAAAAUCGGGCGUAGCAGUAUCAACAUCAACCCAAGAACUGCUUGUUCUGCAAGUCCUCAAGGUUCAAGGUUGAAGUCAAACAUGGAUCAUCAAUAUUCCCAAACAACAAGUACUACCAAAUUUAUAUACAUAACAUGCAGAGUAAAUAUCAGUUUUCCUAGCAGAAACUUCAGAUUCAAUAACAAUCAUGACAAGGGAAUAACAUCAAAAUUAUUCAAUUUCAACCUUCAAUUCAAUCAUCAAACAAACACCAAAAUUAGAAUCCAAUCACCAUGGCAUGCAAAUUCAUAUAUAGCACCCAACCCAAGAUCAACAUCAAAUCAAUUCAAAACAAACCCUAAACCUAACCCCAACAAACCCAAACCCUUAACAAAAAUUCCACCACCAAAAAGUUCAUGAAUUUUAUGAGGAACAAAAAAACCAUAAGAAAAUUAAGAUCGAAACAAAGCACCCCAAUUGAAGGCAAGAUCAAACCCAAAUAGAAACAAAAAAGAUAAACAGAAAUAAUCAAUAAAAAUCAAAUCUUUAACAUAACUAGAG
rnacentral:lncRNA from 1 species